rnacentral:lncRNA from 1 species
UCAAAUUUUGCCCUUCAGAAACAGAUUGUGAUUUUCAAUGACCAAUAUUUAUUUCAGUAAUCAUUCAAUACAGUAUUACAAUAAUCCAAUGUCAAUACAUUUUAUGAACUCUGCAGUAUAAAAUGCUAUAUGUUGGAAACAAGUUUAUCUAACCAAAGAUUUAUGAAGCAGUUCUCUUUCUUUAAGGGUACAGUAUUGCUGGGUGCAACGACGUGCCUGUAGUCCCAGCUACUUGGGAGGCUGAGGCCAGAGGAUCACCUGAGCCCAGGAGUUCUGGACUGCAGAGAGCUGUGCCAAUCAGGUGUCAAGACUGGUCCAAAUCUUGGGUCAGACUCACAUUUGGAGAGUAUCGUCUCCAUGAGAGUCAGAAGAAAAUGGGCAAAGUAAUUGAGGAGGCGAGCUACAAGAUUUCCGAAGCUGACACUCCUGAAAUAUAAAGAUGAGGACUGAGGGACUCACUAACAAGGUGGCUGGCUCUCCCCAGAGUGAAUGAUUCCAGAGAAGGCCAGAAAGAGUCACUGCAUCUAAAACGGAACCUGCAGUAUUUUGUAACCUCAUCUCAAAAGUGACAAACCAUCACUUCUGUCAUAGUCUUGUCUUUAGAAGUCAGUCAAUUCAACCCACGUAGAAAAAGGGGAUUGCACAGCAAUCCCAUUACUGGUUAUAUACCCAGACAAAUAUAAAUCAUUCUACCAUAAAGACACACGC